GAUGAACGCUGGCGGCGUGCCUAAUACAUGCAAGUCGAGCGAACAGAUGAGGAGCUUUCCCCUCUGACGUUAGCGGCGGACGGGGGAGUAACAUGUGGAUAACCCACCUAUAAGACUGGGAUAACCUCGGGAAACCGGAGCUAAUUCCGGAGAAGAUACGGAACCUGAUGGUUUAAUAGUUUAAGACGGCUUUGCAGUCACUUAUAGAUGGAUCCGCGCGGCAUUAGCUAGUUGGUAAGGUAACGGCUUACCAAGGCGACGAUGCGUAGCCGACCUGAGAGGGUGAUCGGCCACACUGGAACUGAGACACGGUCCAGACUCCUACGGGAGGCAGCAGUAGGGAAUCUUCCGCAAUGGGCGAAAGCCUGACGGAGCAACGCCGCGUGAAUGAUGAAGGUCUUCGGAUCGUAAAACUCUGUUAUUAGGGAAGAACGCAUGUGUAAGUAACUAUGCACUUCUUGACGUUACCUAAUCAGAAAGCCCCGGCUAACUCCGUG
rnacentral:rRNA from 1 species